AUUCAGAGCUAAUCAUUGUUCCUCCAGGCUCUUUUUAUUUUUAACAUACUUUAUACUGUAUUUCACCAAAUCACAGCAGCCAGCUGAGUUCAGAAUUUGGAAAUCACUGUCUCAUCUUUAUUUCUCUAGCCUGUCUGGUUCAUUCACUUCUUUUUUUCUUCUAUCAAAACUCAAAAGUAUUUAAGACAGGUUUCCUGAAGUCAUCCUCUUUAUUUGAAAUAAAUUUGUGAAUGGAGCCUGAUUCAAAAGAAUUACAAACUCAACUUGAAAACUCAAACUAUGUCACUUACAGAUAGGAGUCUGGGUUCCUGUCGGAUGUUGCUGCAAUAUUCUUUUGAUCACGAGUCAUUUUCUCUGCUGUUAUUAAAUGAGGGCAUAUUACCCGAACAAGGCUCAGGAUGCUCCUCGUGACACUCCUGUGAACGUUUGUAGAUGACGCCGGACGAUGUGCAGGCAGCUUUCCACGGAGGACUGAGAUCCGAGGAAGAAUGCUGAGAGUCAAGGACACCAAAGCCCGGCAAAGGAGCAAGAGAUCUUGCCCACUGCAGACCCUGCAAGGAACCUUCCAGAGUGUGCUUGAGGAGUGUCCACAACAGAAGGAAUAUGUGCUCGCUGGCUCCACUUCCCUUGUUGUCCCCCUCUAGUUCCAAUGUGGCAGGGGGGCUGGGUGUUCUCUGCAGGCAUCCCAGCAAGCAGGGCAUGAGAAAGAACACCAGGCGGAGUCCAGCGGGCCGCGGAGUCCAGCGGGCCACGGACCCUGAGAACACUGGCUGUGGCUGUGGCCGCAGUGGCAAUGCGGAGGAGGUGCUGGAUGGGUGGCUCCCUGCGCAUCAGGAAACUCACUCCAGAAGGCACAGACACGUUCAGACGUGCAGGAUGGCGAGAACCAUCGUGGGGCACUCAAGGACAGCAACAGAUGUCCAUGAAAAUCCUCUUGGGUUGACUCCAAGACACAAGUAAAAGGAACAUCUAAAGAGGGAAUGUGAGGCUCUACCGCCUUUCAGGGAGGGUUCUGUUUCCAUUUCUCAGGGUGGACUGGGAGGAGGACCCGGCCUUUUCCUGGGAGUUUGGGAACCGGCAUCGAGUCCCGUGCCAUUGGGUAUGGGAGGGCACAGGGCUGGGAGGAAGGGACGCGGAAUGUGGGGUCUCACCUCUCACCCGGGCUCCGUCACCUUCCUGGUGCUGUGUGAGCUGAGCCAACGCAGCCCCCGGGUCCCCCAGUUGUGUGACAAACACGUGGUCAGGCCUGGCACUCAGCUAGGAAGUUGGCAGAGGUGCUCUGGUUCAACUCCCAUGGAAAUGGCGGGAAACACUGCCUUCCUCAAGGUCAUGUGACAAGUGGCCGGAAGAGAGCUUCUAACCACGCACUGCUGCUGUCAGCCCCUGGCCCUUCUGUGUCUGCCCAGAAAACUGAUUGAUCACUUUACUCCCAUCCAGGCCUCUCACGGUCUUCAGCUGUGUCCCUCCCCACGCCCUCCCUCCCUCCCUCAUCCUGCUCUGGCUCCCUCCCUUCCCCUUC